rnacentral:rRNA from 1 species
ACUCCUACGGGAGGCAGCAGUGGGGAAUAUUGCACAAUGGGCGCAAGCCUGAUGCAGCCAUGCCGCGUGUAUGAAGAAGGCCUUCGGGUUGUAAAGUACUUUCAGCAGUGAGGAAGGUGGGUAUGUUAAUAGCAUAUUCAUUUGACGUUAGCUGCAGAAGAAGCACCGGCUAACUCCGUGCCAGCAGCCGCGGUAAUACGGAGGGUGCGAGCGUUAAUCGGAAUUACUGGGCGUAAAGCGCAUGCAGGUGGUUUGUUAAGUCAGAUGUGAAAGCCCGGGGCUCAACCUCGGAAUUGCAUUUGAAACUGGCAAACUAGAGUACUGUAGAGGGGGGUAGAAUUUCAGGUGUAGCGGUGAAAUGCGUAGAGAUCUGAAGGAAUACCGGUGGCGAAGGCGGCCCCCUGGACAGAUACUGACACUCAGAUGCGAAAGCGUGGGGAGCAAACAGGAUUAGAUACCCUGGUAGCACAGAG